AGGAAUAUUGGUCAAUGGGGGGAACCCUGAUGCAGCGACGCCGCGUGAGGGAAGAAGGGUUUUGGAUUGUAAACCUCUGUCCUUGGUAAAGAAGCAAGACGGUAGCCAAGGAGGAAGCCACGGCUAACUACGUGCCAGCAGCCGCGGUAAUACGUAGGUGGCAAGCGUUGUCCGGAAUUACUGGGUGUAAAGGGAGCGUAGGCGGUUAUGCAAGUUGAAUGUGAAAUCUAUCGGCUCAACUGAUAGGCUGCGUUCAAAACUGUAUAUCUUGAGUGAAGUAGAGGCAGGCGGAAUUCCUAGUGUAGCGGUGAAAUGCGUAAAUAUUAGGAGGAACACCAGUGGCGAAGGCGGCCUGCUGGGCUUUAACUGACGCUGAGGCUCGAAAGCGUGGGUAGCAAACA
rnacentral:rRNA from 1 species